AUGGAGGCUGCUCUUGUGAGCGUUGGCACCGGGGUGAUGAAGCCGCUCCUGUCCAAGAUCUACAAUCUGCUGAAGGAAGAGCACAGCAAGUUCAAGGGCGUGCGCCGCCAGAUCGAAGAAACCAAAGAUGAGAUGAGCGGCAUGGAGGCUGCUCUGGAAGUGCUCGCAGACGCUGAGCAGCUUGACGCUGAGAUGAGAGCUUGGAAGGAGGAUGUCCGCGAGCUGUCGUAUGAUAUGGAGGAUUGCGUUGAUGACUUCAUCGCUCGCGUUGACCACGAGCGUGGUAGAUCUACAGGCCUCAAGGGGUUCUUUGACAAGCUGAAGAAGCUCAAACCUCGCCACGAGAUCGCCGGGGAGAUUGAGAGGCUCAAAGCCCGGGCUAUCGAGGCAAGCAAGAGGCAUAAGAGGUAUAAACUUGACCGCCAGUCACCUGGCUCUACCACCACUUGUGACAUUGAUCCCAGGCUGCACGCUCUUUAUGCGGAGGUCGGCGAACUUGUUGGCAUCAAAGGUCCUAGGGAGCACAUCCUUGAGUGGUUCAAGAGUGAAGCUUCUUCUACACAGCUUCGAGUGGUGUCAAUUGUUGGUCCAGGUGGUCUUGGUAAGACGACACUCGCAAAUGCAGUUUUCGAGACCAUCAAAAGCGAAUUCAGUUGCUCAGCUCUAGUUUCAGUUUCUAGAAAGCCUAACAUGAAAAAUAUUCUAAGAGACAUUGCUGAAAGAGUGCGGGUCGAGGAUUACACUUACAAUGAUGACGAGCGGCAGCUCAUUGACAAGCUAAGAGAGCACCUCCGAAAUAAAAAGUACCUUAUUGUGAUUGAUGAUAUAUGGGACACAGAAGCAUGGAAAACCAUUAGCCACGCAUUACUGAAUAACAAUAAUGGGAGCAGAAUUAUUACUACAACACGUAAUAGCACAGUUGCAUCAUUUUGUUCUUCUCAAGGGGAUUACGUUUAUAGACUGGAGCCCCUCAAUUUUGCUGACUCGAGAAGACUAUUUCUUGAAAGAGCGUUCCGUUAUGACUGUCUAUGCCCCCCUCAUCUAAAGGAAAUACUUGAAAGGAUAUUGGAAAAAUGUGCGGGGUUGCCAUUGGCUAUCAUUACCAUGUCUGGUUUGCUGGCUGAUCAAACUGCAGAAGAAGAGUGGAACAGGGCACUAGCUGCUAUUGGUUCUUCACUUGCAAAGGAACCUGAUGCUGGGGACAUGACCAAGAUAUUAUCGCUCAGUUAUUUUGAUCUUCCUCACCCUAUGAGAACUUGUUUGUUGUAUCUCAGUGCAUUCCCAGAAGAUUAUAUCAUCGAGAAACACAGUUUGAUAUAUAAAUGGAUAGCUGAAGGAUUCGUCUGUGAAGUACGAGGGCGUAGUACAUAUGAAGUAGGUGAAUCUUAUUUUAAUGAUUUCAUUAACAGGAGCUUAAUCCAACCAGCUAAGUUAAUGGACAACGGCCAGGUGGUGGCAUGCAGAGUUCACGACAUUAUUCUCGACUUCAUCACAUGCAUGGCCAAAGAAGAGAACUUCAUGACGUCAUUUGGUGAUGCAGAGCAGGGGAAGAAACACAAGGUUCGUAGGCUCUCUGUCAUGAGUCGCAAGUAUGAAAUGGCUACCAUGUCAUCAUGGGAUCUCUCUCAUGUUCGAUCGCUUGCUACGUUUGGGUCUUUUGGGCAGAAUUCUCUAGUGGAGUUCCCAGCUCUUCGUGUGUUGGACCUAGGAGAAUGCGAGGAUUUACAAAGUCAUCAUCUGGAAAAUAUUGAAAAGCUACUUCUUCUCAAGUACUUGCGUCUCAGAAUUGCGGAGAUACCGGAAGGAAUUGGAAAACUGAAGUAUUUAGAAACACUGGACAUGCGUGGUAUGCGCAUUAGAAAACUGCCGUCUACCAUGACACGGCUUCAAAGGUUGACCCGUCUAUAUGCUGACUUGGACCCUAGUUGCUUAUCGGAUGGAAUAAUUGGACAGCUGCAGAGCUUAGAAGAGCUAGAGAAUGUUUUUGUCCCCGAUGCUGAACUAGAGAGAUUUCUGCGGGAACUUGGUCAGCUAAGCAAGCUAAGGAAGUUGAGCGUAAAUGUGACAGAAGCAUUUGAUUCCAAGGAAAAGGAGGAUGCUGUAAGGUUUAUCGGAACUUUAAUAUCUUCCUACAAUAUUCAUCUUCUGAGAAUAACCUACGGGCCAAACUUGCCCUUCGAUCCUAUGCCGGACCUCCUGUUUCUGUCACUGGAGCCAUGGUGCCCCGCUAAUCCUGCUGCAUUCCGGAAGAUCUGGUUCGCUAACUGCUACAUUGACAAGAUUCCAAGUUGGAUGGUCUCGCUUGUGAAUCUCCGUAAUUUAGAUAUCUGUAUGUACCGUACAGGGCCAGAAGACGUGGCAGUCCUUGGCGGAAUACCCGCUUUGGCUUUUCUGACACUCGAGACUUGGUAUGGCAGAAAUGGAAGGAUCUUCAUCCGUGGAUUCAGAAGUCUGAAAUACUUCAAACUAGAGGUCAAGUGCUGUGGCACCGCAGUGGAAUUUGAAGAGGGGUCGAUGCCUAUGGUCGAGCACCUCCAGCUUGGAUUAAAGGGUCAUAACAGGGAGUGCGUCAAUUAUGCUACUGAUUUCGGCAUCCAGCACCUCUCCACCCUCACCAAGGUGGAUAUCAAUAUUGAUGGCAACAAUGGAAAAAUUAAAAGACUUAUCGAAACCGCUCUCCGGAAACUUCGCUACCGCCUCACUCUGUCAGCAAGUGGAGAGCGUUGUAACCAUUUUGAAGAACUUUUCACAGAAUUGUACUUUCGUAAAGCUGGGAGUAGUGUUCAACAAAAGAGGGAAGGUGCCUUUUGUUCUUUUCUGGAUCGAGUAUUCGAAGAGAUUAACCAGGAUGCUUUGUCUCGUUUGAUGGUGCUGGACGUGCAACGGGCCCACCAUGUGCGGUCUCGGUCGAUUUAG
rnacentral:rRNA from 1 species